rnacentral:rRNA from 2 species
GAAAUUAAGAGUAUAUGGCGGAUGCCUAGACUAAAAAAGGCGAUGAAAGACGUAGCAUGGCGGCGAUACGUUUCGGGGAGGUGCCUAGCAACCUUUGAUCCGGAAAUUUCUGAAUGGGGAAACCCCUCUAAGUAACCCUUAGAGACACUUGCGCUUGACGUAAGUGAGCAUACCAAGGGAAGUAAAACAUUUCAGUACCUUGAGGAAAAGAGAAAAAUAUUUAUUUUCUGAGUAGCGGCGAGCGAAAAGGAAAGAGCCCAAACCCGCACACUUACUUUGCCCAAGGAGUCGGAGCGGACGUAUUUAUACGAUCCGUCACGGCGUGCCUAUUGAAGAAUGAGCCAACGAGUUUAUCUAUGCUGCAGGCUAAGCUGUUAGAACAGUGGAGCCUUAGGGAAACCGAGUGUUAAUAGCGCGAACAAUUAAUGUAGUCUAGAUAAGACCCGAAGCGAGGUGAGCUUGCCAUGAGCAGGAUGAAGUUUGUCGAAAGAUAGAUGGAGGUCCGAACCGGUGACCCGUGCAAUAGUCUCGGAUGACUUGUGGUAAGGAGUGAAAAGCUAAUCGAACCUCGUAAUAGCUGGUUCUCUCCGAAAUAGCUUUAGGGCUAGCGUUGUGUGUUCCUCUUGGGGGUAGAGCACUGGAAGAUUUCGACAGGGAGCAAUCUCGCGACAUCUAUCAAACUCCGAAUACCAAGAGCUAAAAGCACAGCAGUUAGGCUAUGGGGGCGAAGCUCCAUCAGCCAAAAGGGAAACAGCCCAGAUCUCUAAUUAAGGUCCCUAAAUAUAUACUAAGUGCGUAUGAAGGAGGUGAAAUUUCUCUGACAGUGAGGAUGUUGGCUUAGAAGCAGCCAUCAUUUAAAGAAAGCGUAACAGCUCACUCACUAAGAGAUUUCGCACCGAAAAUAAUCGGGGCUAAGUAUAUUACCGAAAUUGAGGGCUUCCAAUUUUUUAAAAUCGGGAGCGGUAGGAGAGUAUUCCACUCAGCGUCGAAGCCAAAGAGGUGACUCAUGGUGGAGCGUGUGGAAGUAAGAAUGUUGGCACAAGUAACCGCAAGGUAGGUGAGAUCCCUACCCGCCGAAAGAUCAAGGUUUCCUGGGCAAUGAUUAUCAUCCCAGGGUUAGUCGGUCCUAAGGGGAUGGCGAAAGCCGCACCCGAUGGGCACAUGGUUAAUAUUCCAUGACUUCUGUUGUAUCCGAUGAUAGGACGGAGUGUAGUAUAUAAAGCUCAUUAUUGGAUUUGAGUAUGUUAGUAAGGAUGUCUCUUAGGAAAAUCCGGGAGAUGACGUAAAAGUAACAUCCAAGCAAAACUUAAAUAUAGGGGUUCGCCUCUGUAGAUUUUAUAAAGCACGCUUCCAAGAAAAGUAUCUAAGGUUAAUGCAAUAGAAUCCGUACCGCAAACCGACACAGGUGAUCAGGUCGAGUAGACCAAGGCGAACGAGUGAGAGGUCUUCAAGGAACUCGGCAAAAAAGCAGCCGUAACUUUGGAAUAAGGCUUGCCAUUCUUAAUUUAUUAAGUUUGGCCGCAGCGAAAGUAUCUCUGGCAACUGUUUAUCAAAAACACAGCUCCCUGCGAACUCGCAAGAGGAUGUAUAGGGGGUGACACCUGACCAAUGCCAGAAGGUCAAAUAUCGGUGGUGCAUGGUCGCAAGAUUGUGUGCUGGCUGAUAUAAGCCCUGGUGAAUGUCGGCCGUAACUAUAACGGUCCUAAGGUAGCGAAGUACCUUGUCGGGUAAGUUCCGACGCGCACGAAUGGUGUAAUGACUGGAGAACUGUCUCGAAGACCUGCUCGGUGAAAAUACAAUACCGGUGAAGAUGCCGGUUACCUGCAGAUAGACGAAAAGACCCUAGAAGCUUUACUGCAGCUUGAUAUUGAGUAUAUUGUUUUAAUGCGUAGCAUAGAUGGGAGAGGUUUGAUGGUUAGGGUCUCGGCUCUGAUCUACUCGUCAGUGAAAUACCAUUCUUUACAAUAAUAUGCUCUAAUCUCUAAGGCAAAAACUUAGAGAGACAGUAUCUGGUGGGUAGUUUUACUGGGGCGGUAUCCUCCUAAAGAGUAACGGAGGAGUUUAUUAAGGUUAGCUAGGCGCGAAUGGAAACCGUGCCGAUAGUGUAAUGGCACAAGCUAGCUUAACUGUAAGACGUACAUGUCGAGCAGAUACGAAAGUAGAACAUAGUGAACCGACAUUUCGCAUUAGAUGCGGAUGAAGAUUAACGGAUAAAAGCUACUCUAGGGAUAACAGGCUAGUUCCGCCUAAGAGUUCAUAUCGACGGCGGAGUUCGGCACCUCGAUGUCGGCUCACCUUAUCCUGGUGGUGGAGAAGCUGCCAAGGGUUUAGCUGUUCGCUAAUUAAAAAGGUACGCGAGCUGGGUUCAAACCGUUAAGAUCAUAAACGAUUGUGAUUUUAACAGUUUGAACCGUCGAGGAAAGUAAAGAAAUCUCGUAUAUUUCUUUCAAUGUUUUAAUCUGAGAUUAAGACCGCUAUACACAGUUGUGUAUAUCACGGCGGCCCCGCCAAUAAAACGACGGGGAGAAUUUCACUUAUAUCGGUGAAGUCCUACUUUUAUAAAAGAGGAUAAUACCGAGGGAAGCGUAAGCACCCGUAGAGACUAAAUGUGAAAUAUUUCUCCUAUCUACUGCAGGCGUUGAUUCUUGAGAAGAUCUGCUCUUAGUACGAGAGGACCGGAGUGGACUGACCUCUGGUGUGUGGGCUCUACUGCCAAGUGGACUGCCCAGUAGCUAUGUCGGGAAUGGAUAAGUUCUGAAAGCAUCUAAGAACGAAGCCAACUUCAAGAUGAGGAAUCGUUUGAGAAACCUAAGAGAUGAUUAGGUUGAUAGGCACUAGGUGUACAGACAGUAAUGUCUUUAGCCGAGGUGUACUAAUCGUUCGA